rnacentral:rRNA from 1 species
UACCAGACUCCUACGGGAGGCAGCAGUGAGGAAUAUUGGUCAAUGGCCGGAAGGCUGAACCAGCCAAGCCGCGUGAGGGAGGAAGGCGCAGAGCGUCGCAGACCUCUUUUGCCGGGGGACAAAAGGCCGGACUCGUCCGGUCCUGAGGGUACCCGGAGAAAAAGCAUCGGCUAACUCCGUGCCAGCAGCCGCGGUAAUACGUAGGUGGCAAGCGUUAUCCGGAUUUACUGGGUGUAAAGGGCGUGUAGGCGGGGACGCAAGUCAGAUGUGAAAACCACGGGCUCAACCUGUGGCCUGCAUUUGAAACUGUGUUUCUUGAGUACUGGAGAGGCAGACGGAAUUCCUAGUGUAGCGGUGAAAUGCGUAGAUAUUAGGAGGAACACCAGUGGCGAAGGCGGUCUGCUGGACAGCAACUGACGCUGAGGCGCGAAAGCGUGGGGAGCAAACAGGAUUAGAUACCCUGGUAAC